rfam:Candidatus Symbiobacter mobilis CR, complete genome.
UACUUCGUGAGAAGUAGUCUGGAGGAAGCCCGAGAGCAAAAAGCGCUUUGAGGUUUACGGC